rnacentral:rRNA from 1 species
AGUGUGAUAGGGGAACUCUAAGUGCUUAUGCUUUGCAUAGGCUUUUGCCAAAACAAAAAACUUUGGCGAAUAAGUGGUGGGAAAGACGGGUGCCAGCCGCCGCGGUAACACCUGCGCCACAAGUGGGAACCAUUUUUAUUGGGCCUAAAGCGUCCGUAGCCGACUCAGAUAAUCCUCUGUGAAAUUGCUGUACUUAACACAACAAAGUGCAGAGGAAACUGCUGGGAUUGGAACUGGGAGGAGUCAGAAGUAUGUAUAGGGGAGCGGUAAAAUGCUAUAAUCCUAUGUAGACUACCUGUGGCAAAAGCGUCUGACUAGAACAGAUUCGACGGUGAGGGACGAAAGCCAGGGGAGCAAUCCGGAUUAGAUACCCGAGUAGUCCUGGCCAUAAACGCUGCGAGCUAGGUGUUACACAUUCUCCGUGAGUGUGUAGUGUCGUAGAGAAGUCGUUAAGCUCGCCGCCUGGGAAGUAUAGU